UUAAUCUAAGGUACAGUCGUUAUC
rnacentral:siRNA from 1 species